rnacentral:rRNA from 1 species
CCGGGAACUCAAAGGAGACUGCCAGUGAUAAACUGGAGGAAGUGGGGAUGACGUCAAGUCAUCAUGGCCCUUACGACCAGGGCUACACACGUGCUACAAUGGCGCAUACAAAGAGAAGCGACCUCGCGAGAGCAAGCGGACCUCAUAAAGUGCGUCGUAGUCCGGAUUGGAGUCUGCAACUCGACUCCAUGAAGUCGGAAUCGCUAGUAAUCGUGGAUCAGAAUGCCACGGUGAAUACGUUCCCGGGCCUU